GGUUUUAUGUUACGUUUUAAAGUUGAAAGACUGUAACGUUACAACUAUAUAAGUUUAGGGACAGUUAUUGAAAUUUAUCCGUUGGGAGGAUUUUGUAAUAUAAAUUAAAAUUGAAAUAGUACCGUUAUAAUGCUAAAGUUGAUUUGAAAAAACUAAACCUUAUACAAUUAUGCAUACUAAGUCGUUACUUAAUUUUCUAUUGGUUCAUAUGUAAAUAUAUGACAUCCAUUUGAAAUUAUUUUUGAAGUUGCCAUUAAUAAAAAUAAUAUUUCAAAAAUAUUUGUUAGAAAUCUUUAAAUUUUUACUACAUUUAAUAUAUUUUGAUUUCUUUUUCAUACUUAAACUCAAAUUUGAGUAGUUAAGUCACUAUUUAUUUAUGGGAGAGCUUAACUCGAAUGAAUUAGUUUUUCAUCAAUCAUAAAAUAGGAUAAGGAUAUUCUGGAUAUUUAAAAAAAAUAAUUUUAAUAUAUUUUAAUUAUAAAAUUAAAAUUUCAAAAUAACUAAAUAUAUAUUUUUUAAAAUGAUAUUUUCAGCAAUAUUUAAAAAUAAUUUUUCAAAAAAUAAUUUCAUUAACCUCUCAACCGUUGUAGGUGUAGCUUUAUGGAUUGCUACGACUGUCCAACUGUUCUAUCAAUUCAGGUGGAAUAACGGAACGGGAUGGAAUUACCACUUACGGUUUUGUCUUCUGAGUUGUGACGCUUCUUUUUCUUUUGAUUAUGAUCACUCGAAAACCCUUCUCCACCCACUCCAGAUGCUUAUCCUCCAGACUCCAUAGCGUUGCAUCCAUGGCUCCACCGACACGCACAGAAUUUGCACAUCGAAAAGCAAUUUUGCAGAGACGGAGAAUUUUCACUUUGCAUGAUUCCAUUUGUUUGGUUGAAGUGCUUUGGAACUUGGAUCCACCUGAGAAGAAACAUGGUGAAAAGAUCAGAUUUUGCACAGAAACUGUUGGAUGAUCUCCGUGUGCGGAAGGAACGAAUGUCUGCAUCCCAG
rnacentral:misc_RNA from 1 species